AACGAACGCUGGCGGCAGGCUUAACACAUGCAAGUCGAACGCCCCGCAAGGGGAGUGGCAGACGGGUGAGUAACGCGUGGGAAUCUACCCAGAUCUACGGAACAACAGUUGGACACGACUGCUAAUACCGUAUACGCCCUACGGGGGAAGGAUUUAUCGGAUUUGGAUGAGCCCGCGUUGGAUUAGCUAGUUGGUGGGGUAAUGGCCUACCAAGGCGAGGAUCCAUAGCUGGUCUGAGAGGAUGAUCAGCCACACUGGACUGAGACACGGCCCAGACUCCUACGGGAGGCAGCAGUGGGGAAUAUUGGACAAUGGGCGCAAGCCUGAUCCAGCCAUGCCGCGUGAGUGAUGAAGGCCUUAGGGUUGUAAAGCUCUUUCACCGAUGAAGAUAAUGACGGUAGUCGGAGAAGAAGCCCCGGCUAACUUCGUGCCAGCCGCCGCCGUAAAAC
rnacentral:rRNA from 1 species